UGGGGAAUAUUGGACAAUGGGCGCAAGCCUGAUCCAGCCAUGCCGCGUGAGUGAUGAAGGCCCUAGGGUUGUAAAGCUCUUUCACCGGUGAAGAUAAUGACGGUAACCGGAGAAGAAGCUCCGGCUAACUUCGUGCCAGCAGCCGCGGUAAUACGAAGGGGGCUAGCGUUGUUCGGAUUUACUGGGCGUAAAGCGCACGUAGGCGGACUUUUAAGUCAGGGGUGAAAUCCCGGGGCUCAACCCCGGAACUGCCUUUGAUACUGGAAGUCUUGAGUAUGGUAGAGGUGAGUGGAAUUCCGAGUGUAGGAGUGAAAUUCGUAGAUAUUCGGAGGAACACCAGUAGCGAAGGCGGCUCACUGGACCAUUAAUGACGAUGAGGUGCGAAAGCGUGGGGAGCAAACAGG
rnacentral:rRNA from 1 species